rnacentral:rRNA from 1 species
AACGAACGCUGGCGGCAGGCUUAACACAUGCAAGUCGAACGCUCGUAGCAAUACGGGAGUGGCGGACGGGUGAGUAACGCGUGGGAACGUGCCCUGAGGUACGGACUAACUGCGGGAAACUGCAGCUAAUACCGUAUGAGCCCCGCAAGGGGGAAAGAUUUAUCGCCUUAGGAGCGGCCCGCGUCGGAUUAGCUAGUUGGUGGGGUAACGGCUUACCAAGGCUUCGAUCCGUAGCUGGUCUGAGAGGACGAUCAGCCACACUGGGACUGAGACACGGCCCAGACUCCUACGGGAGGCAGCAGUGGGGAAUCUUGCGCAAUGGGGGCAACCCUGACGCAGCCAUGCCGCGUGAAUGAUGAAGGCCUUAGGGUUGUAAAGUUCUUUUGCCCGUGACGAUGAUGACGGUAACGGGAGAAUAAGCUCCGGCUAACUUCGUGCCAGCAGCCGCCGUAAAAC